AUGGUCUCCGCCGAUGCAGCUCGCAACAUCGUCGGCAUCAUCGGCAAUGUCAUCUCCUUCGGGCUCUUCCUCUCCCCCACGCCGACGUUCUGGCGGAUCUGCAAGGCCAAGGACGUGGAGGAAUUCAAGCCGGACCCCUACCUGGCGACGCUGCUCAACUGCAUGCUCUGGGUCUUCUACGGACUCCCCAUCGUCCACCCCAACAGCAUCCUCGUCGUCACCAUAAACGGCAUCGGGCUCGUCAUCGAGGGCAUCUACCUCAUCAUCUUCUUCAUCUACUCCACCAACAACAAGAGGCUGAAGAUGCUCGCCGUGCUCGGCGCCGAGGCGGCGUUCAUGGUGGCUGUGGUGGUCGGCGUGCUCCUCGGCGCCCACACCCACGAAAAGCGCUCCAUGAUCGUCGGCAUCCUCUGUGUCAUCUUUGGCUCCAUCAUGUAUGCCUCCCCGCUCACCAUCAUGGGUAAAGUGAUAAGGACCAAGAGCGUGGAGUACAUGCCAUUCUUCCUAUCGCUGGUGAACUUCCUCAACGGCUGCUGCUGGACAGCCUAUGCGCUCAUCAAGUUUGAUCUCUACGUGACGAUCCCCAAUGGCCUCGGUGCUUUUUUCGGCCUCAUCCAGCUGAUCCUCUACGCCUGCUACUACAAGUCGACGCCGAAGAAGGAGAAGAGCGUCGAGCUGCCCACUGCCGUCAACAACAACACUGGCGGCAGCGGCAACGUCUCCGUUACCGUCGAGAGAUAA
rnacentral:rRNA from 1 species